rnacentral:rRNA from 1 species
CCUACGGGUGGCAGCAGUGGGGAAUAUUGGACAAUGGGGGCAACCCUGAUCCAGCCAUGCCGCGUGUGUGAAGAAGGCCCUCGGGUUGUAAAGCACUUUCAGUGAGGAAGAACGCCUGGUGGUUAAUACCCAUCAGGAAAGACAUCACUCACAGAAGAAGCACCGGCUAACUCCGUGCCAGCAGCCGCGGUAAUACGGAGGGUGCGAGCGUUAAUCGGAAUUACUGGGCGUAAAGCGCGCGUAGGUGGCUUGAUAAGCCGGUUGUGAAAGCCCCGGGCUCAACCUGGGAACGGCAUCCGGAACUGUCAAGCUAGAGUGCAGGAGAGGAAGGUAGAAUUCCCGGUGUAGCGGUGAAAUGCGUAGAGAUCGGGAGGAAUACCAGUGGCGAAGGCGGCCUUCUGGACUGACACUGACACUGAGGUGCGAAAGCGUGGGUAGCAAACAGGAUUAGAACCCGGGUAGUC